GUGGUGUAGUCCGGCCAAUCAUAUCGCCCUCUCGAGGCGAUGACACGGGUUCAAAUUAACCCUUUCCG
rnacentral:tRNA from 1 species